UCCCUUCCAACUCAAAUGAUUCUAUGGUUCUCUAAAAAUAGGGGGGAUUGGGAGGAUGUUUUAAUUUUCUAACUCAGAACAAUCAGUGGUGUCACGGACCACUUGCAUCUAUCUUAACGCACCUCUCCCUGCUGUGUGACCAAAUGCAAGACCACUGCGUCACUUUGAUAUUUUCUUGUUUUUAAAUACCUGAAUACAAAGUCUUAAAAAAACAACCAACAGCCAUAUUAUUCAAGAAAAUGAACACCAAAUCCUAUGCAGUUAACUUGUGCCACUUCUACUCUGUCAAGGAGGGAUCAAUUAGUGUCUCAGAAAAGAAGUUCCUUACAAAAAAAAAUCCAGGCUUUUCUUGCAGUUCAUCUUAGUAGCUCUGUACCACACUGUCAGUGCCAAAGAAGGACGAGAACACAGGAAUUGGUGAUGGGAUUUAGUCAGCUAAGAGAAAAAGACAUACGCUGUAUUCAUUCGCCUCCAUCCCUUUUGAACCAUGCAUACCAUCAGCAUCUCCUCUCAAAUUUGACAGGAGCUGAGAAAGAAGUGAAAAUGAUACAUAAAUUAUGGGGUGAAAUGAAGGUUGUGAAUGUCAGGUCCAUAGCAGAGUACUUCAGGUUUUGAAGAUUAAUUUUCCUGGGAGAAUAUGGGCAAAGAAGAACAAAAAAUGAGAGAACAACACAGCUUUUUCAUUCCCAUCACCUCCAUUACCCAGGGAGCAUCAAAGUUGGCUACACUGAUGCGCAGCAGAUAGACAUUUUGCUGUUCCGAUUCUAACUAGAAGAUUAGGAGCUCCUGAAAUGGCAACAGCUAAGUGACUGAAUUUGAUCACCAGCACAUUCAGAAAAGGGAGCGAGACAGCUCCUCUCAGUCUCAUUACAGACUCCAGGAUGAACCGAGGUACACAUGAAUUUUGUAUGAGAUAAAUUG
rnacentral:lncRNA from 7 species